UUCGAUCCUGGCUCAGAUUGAACGCUGGCGGGAUACUUUACAUGCAAGUCGAACGGCAGCACGGACUUCGGUCUGGUGGCGAGUGGCGAACAGUUGGUGAUAAUGUAUCGGAACGUGCCUAGUAGCGGGGAUAACUACGCGAAAGCGUAGCGUACCGCAUACGCCCUUCGGGGGAAAGCGGGAGACCUUCGGGCCUCGCACUAUUAGAGCAGCCGAUAUCGGAUUAGCUAGUUGGUGGGGUAACGGCUCACCAAGGCGACGAUCCGUAGCUGGUUUGAGAGGACGACCAGCCACACUGGGACUGAGACACGGCCCAGACUCCUACGGGAGGCAGCAGUGGGGGUACACUGGACAAUGGGGGAAACCGGUCAGCCAUCCCGCGUGUGCGAUGAAGGCCUUCGGGUUGUAAAGCACUUUUGGCAGGAAAGAAACGGCACAUACCCGAUGCAACUGACGGUACCUGCAGAAUAAGCACCGGCUAACUACGUGCCAGCAGCCGCGGUAAUACGUAGGGUGCAAGCGUUAAUCGGAAUUACUGGGCGUAAAGCGUGCCGAACGGUUCGGAAAGAAAGAUGUGAAAUCCCAGAGCUUAACUUUGGAACUGCAUUUUUAACUACCGAGCUAGAGUGUGUCAGAGGAGGUGGAAUUUCACGCGUGUAGCAGUGAAAUGCGUAGAUAUGCAGGAGGAACACCGAUGGCGAGAAGUAGCCUCUGGGAUAACACUGACGCUCAUGCACGAAAGCGUGGGAGCAAACGGGAUUAGAUACCCUGGUAGUCCACGCCACAAACGAUGUCAACUAGCUGUUGGGGCCUUCGGGCCUUGGUAGCGCAACUAACGCGUGAAGUUGACCGCCUGGGGAGUACGGUCGCAAGAUUAAAACUCAAAGGAAUUGACGGGGACCCGCACAAGCGGUGGAUGAUGUGGAUUAAUUCGAUGCAACGCGAAAAACCUUACCUACCCUUGACAUGUCUGGAAUCCCGAAGAGAUUUGGGAGUGCUCGCAAGAGAACCGGAACACAGGUGCUGCAUGGCUGUCGUCAGCUCGUGUCGUGAGAUGUUGGGUUAAGUCCCGCAACGAGCGCAACCCUUGUCAUUAGUUGCUACGAAAGAGGGCAUCUAAUGAGACUGCCGGUGACAAACCGGAGGGGAAGGUGGGGAUGACGUCAAGUCCUCAUGGCCCUUAUGGGUAGGGCUUCACACGUCAUACAAUGGUCGGGACAGAGGGUCGCCAACCCGCGAGGGGGAGCCAAUCCCAGAAACCCGAUCGUAGUCGGAUCGCAGUCUGCAACUCAGCUGCGUGAAGUCAAGGAAUCGCUAGUAAUCGCGGAUCAGCAUGUCGCGGUAGAUACGUUCCCGGGUCUUGUACACACCGCCCGUCACACCAUGGGAGUGGGUUUUACCAGAAGUAGUUAGCCUAACCGUAAGGAGGGCGAUUACCACAGUAGGAUUCAUGACUGGGGUGAAGUCGUAAUAAGGUAG
rnacentral:rRNA from 1 species